rnacentral:snRNA from 1 species
AUACUCUGGUUUCUAUUCAGAUCGUAUAAAUCUUUCAGCUUUUACUAAAGAUUUCCAUAGAGAGGAACAAUUCUGAGUCUUAACCCAAUUUUUGAGGCCCUGCACCUGCAGGAC